UACGUAGGGUGCAAGCGUUAAUCGGAAUUACUGGGCGUAAAGCGGGCGCAGGCGGCUUUGCAAGACAGAUGGGAAAUCCCCGGGCUCAACCUGGGAACUGCAUUUGUGACUGCAAGGCUAGAGUACGGUAGAGGGGGAUGGAAUUCCGCGUGUAGCAGUGAAAUGCGUAGAUAUGCGGAGGAACACCGAUGGCGAAGGCAAUCCCCUGGACCUGUACUGACGCUCAUGCACGAAAGCGUGGGGAGCAAACAGG
rnacentral:rRNA from 1 species